GCUCCAGCAGCUCAUUUCCGCCGGACGCGGGGCGUCUGGGAGGAUAGAGGCUAUGCGGAGGUCGCGGCUGAGUCUGAGCCGCCGGAGGCCGCCCUCUGGGGCCGGGCCUCCGAGCAAUACCUCCGGGUCCCUCCCGGAUGGCGGCGAGUGCGCGAAGCUGUGGACUGAGUUGCUGCGCACCGCGAGCGCAGACCUGAACGAGGACGGCGAGCUGCCGCCGCUGCCCGCGUUCCCCGGUCAGGAGCCCAAGCGCAGUCCUGAGCGCCCGCCCCUGGAAAGAUUCACCGUGGGAACCGAGACCUUUUUCUGGACGCCCUUCCCGCCGCCCCCGCCGGGGCGAGGCGGGGACUCGGGCAGCUCCGACCUUGUGCUCAGCGCGGUCCGGGGGCACACGAGGUCCCCCCAACAAUAUGCAGCGCCCGAGCUCCGCGGAACCCCCAGCGCCGAGGAGCAGCUGUCAGAGGAGCAGCCCUCCCAGCGACAGCCGACAGUGGACGGUGCGACGACCCUGCAGAGCUGUCCCAUGUGCCAAGUCGACUUCGUCCCCGGGCUGGCGCAGCUGGACAUCGACAGCCACCUGGCCCAGUGCCUGGCAGACAGUACGGAUGACAUAGAGUGCGGUGUGAUGACUGAGGUGGACAGGGGCACCCAGCAGACGGACCAACCCCAGGUGAACCUGUUCCUGCAGCUGCAGGGAGGCAGAGCAGCCCCUGGAAUUUGCGGAGAGGGAUCAGGUCCGCCUGCUGACGUCCUGUGUGAGCUUUGUCUUGGAGGCCCUGUGCAGGGGGGCUUCUCUCUUGUGACGUCAGUCCAUAGGUUCUGGAAGAGCCUCAUCUUCAGCGCAGCCAUGGCUGCAAAAGUCUAAGGUUACCGUCCAGAAGUCAGUAUUUUCAAGAAAGGCUUCAGGCAAGCCAUGAAAAGACACGGGGGAAAACUCCGUGCACACAGUACAGUGAAAGGCUACAAGCUGAGCAACUCCAACUCUAGGCUGUUCUGGAAAAGGCAGAACGCAUGGAGACAGCGAAACGAUCAGCAGUUAUCAAGGAUUAGUGGGGAGAGCAUAUAAACAGGCAAGAGUACAGAGGAUUUUCAGGGCAGGGAAACACUUUAUGACUUGACGUGUCAGUGCAGCCUGUCAUUUGCAACAAGUGCAUUCCCUGGGGAUGUGAAGGUGGGGGCUGGGGAGAAGGGGUCUCUGUCUUCCUCCCCACCAGAAAUGGAAGUGAGGGACCUAAAACUGCUCUGAAAAAUAAAACUUGUUUUUAAGAAGCAUCUUCGGAAGCCUUUGUUCCUGGAAACACCACUUUUAAUGAAAAUGACGACAGCACGCGUUGUCAUUAAAGUUUUUAAUAAAACGUGCAAGACUUGAGCAGCUGUGGCCCUGGUGGGCAUGCCCUCUGCAAAAGGAAGGCCAAGGCCAUGGCCCACCACUCACUGUACAAAACCACAGAACGUGUCUCCUGCUUCACAGUCCUGAAGGCACCUGUUUCCAAGAACCGUAUCAGAGGACACGCCGUGUUGUGACUGGAGCCGCUGGACCCACCUGGGCACAUCCUUCGCCUUCUAAAUUUAUAAAAGCAUGGGACCAUGCACAAAAUCACCCUGGCCGGGAACCCAGGUUACACACAGGUCUGUACACCAGCAACCACACUGGCGACUGGGAGGCUGUAUCGCACCACCGCAGCGUUGACAUCAAUGCCGUAAGUGUGAACAAAUCUGCAGCCCCUGUACUGUCUGAGCAGAGGUGUCACUGUCCCUGAGGCGGCACGUGACCCCGUUGUGGGCACACUGGGGUCUCCCCAGGUGACUGCAUAGCCCUCCUGAUGAUGUCACCACAGAGUUACCACACCCACCAGGCCCAGGCAGCCCUGAGUCUGGCCCAGGGUCCCUCACUUCCAUUUUUGGGGGGGUGGGGAGGUGCAAGUCUCCACGUUCUAGAGGUGCUGCUCUGCCAUUGGGGCCUGGCUGGGGUGCCCAGGGAGUCUGGGGGCACCCAGGGAGGCUGGUGUGUCUGUGCAGGGUCAGGCCAAGCCAGCAGCCUUUUUAUUUUCAACUGUUAUCUGCCCCAGGCCGCUGCCACACUGGGAGAAAUGAAGCCCAAGGGUGCAUGGCAAUGUGGGACCCACACCCACAAAGGACAUCCAGGGACCACUGUCCUGAGGGUGCACAAGGCCUUCCUCCCCACUCUGCCUGGCCCGAGCCACACUUGACAAUAUCAGGGACUUAAAAAACCCACAUGAUUUACCUCUUUCUAAAAAACCUUGGGUUCAGCUUUUUACCUAAGUAGGAGGGUGGCCCGGGCUCAUGGGAAGGAGGAGGUGAGCCCCACCGGGAGGUGCACCCUUCUGAAUGUUCUAAAUUUUAUUCCUUUACUUUAAGGCUAGGGCCCAUCAUACACAUACCCUUUAAAAAUGUCUAAUUCUCAGCAUUAUUAUUCCUGAUAAAAAUACUCUCCAAAAAUCUGAUACAUAACACAAGACAUAAUGUAGGCACUGCUUAGUGUUUCCAGAAAUAUAUUUUGUGCAGAUUUCUUUUUCAACUUCGUGGGUUUUUUUUUUUUUUUUUUUUUUUGGUUUGCGGGUACUUUGGUGAGCCUUGUUUUAGAACCUCUAUGACCCAAUUUUCCUGGUCAGUCUAAGGCCCGGGUUGGGACCGAUGGAGCCCACCUGGCGAAGGUGUGACCUGGGCAUCAGACCACAGGAACUGCUGACAUGCUCGGCACUUACACUCCGGCCGUGCCUCCUCCGCGUGGGCCGCGCCUGCGACUCUGGGCGGGUGCCCCCCGCGGAAAAAAGGCAUCAGAGGGAAGCGCCAGCAUCAGAGGGACACUUUAUUCCUCGGGACAUUACAGGCCAACUCCCGGUGGAGCAGUGUAGGAGAAAUUUCCGCCGAAGUCAGAAAAACUCUACUUGAGCUGAAAAGUGCUGGCAGCACAGGCCAUGAGAGACAUACCCCACGCCAUCGAGGGCCUGCAACCCUGCUCCUUAAACCAAUGGAGGCUGGCUUAGGGAGCUUUAAUCUUGGAACCCCAGUGGUGUCUGCUGCACACGGGUGCUGGGCCAGGCCUCCUCCUCAGACCUCAGAGAGAGCCACACUGAGGCAUGGGGGUGCCUGCCUGGAGGGACCGUCCCCGUCACAAGGGAAUCUGGAGCCAGAGGAGAGCCAGCCCUCUAGUUGGACCACUGUGCUCUCACAGCCGGGACAGCUUGAUUCAGGGGGUGGAUGACCUCGGCCUUUCAGGACUGGCUGCUGCCUUCCCUUGGAGGGUCCUGAGUGAGCCAGCCUGGAAACUCCCACCUGGGUGAGGCCUCCAUGUGACCAGGUUGGAGACAUGGUCCAAGGUCCCGUGUAGGGAGACAGCUCCAGCCAAGUCAGAAAUAAGCCUCCAGUCCACCUCAGCUCAUACCCUGUCUUUGCACUGUGGGGCCAGGGCCCUUAGGAACACCACUUAUGGCAACAAAAGCAAACUGGGCCCGGAAAGUUGAAACAGGUCCCAUAACUUUGGGGGAUUUGGGAAGCUGAACACACAGGUUCUGCUAACGAAGUUGGUGCAGGAAGUGAGAGUGUCACAGAGAUGAAUCCCCCAGUCACGCCCGGUAGUGUCAAGGCUGCAGCCAGCACACCCAGGCCACCUGGAGAGGCACGCUUAUCUCUGUCACCCAGGGGAUGCAGGAGGGGGAUGCGGAACAGAGGGGAUGGGCUGACCCCACUGGCAGAAGGGGGCUACCAGUGUGUGUAUGUGCAUGCGUGCAGGUGCCCACAUGCCCAUGUGCACGCUGCGAUCCCAGGGCCCCGGGAGCUGGUGGGCAUGGCCACACCCUGGACACUCUUCUGGGGACAUAAGGCCUUCCCUUCUCCCCCAGCCUUCUGUCAGGCAAGUUUCCAUAUUCUUGUUAGCAUGAAAUAUAUUCAGAUAAAAAGGGGAAAAAGGAA